CAGUUCAUGGUCACAGGAGGUUAUUGUCAUCAUUUUUCUGUGCACUGUCUUGAUUAUAAGCCUCAUGGUUAUUGCUGUCUUUGCACACAUAAUCAUCAACAUGAAAUGUGACUCCUGUCAAGAUGGUGGUGUGCUGCAGAAACAUUGGAGUCAGGAAAGACAAAAGGGACCUAGAGACAAAUGCAUCUACUCUUCUGUCAUUUUCACUGUGAUGAAUCAGAAUAGUGGACCAAUAAACACAUCAGCUCAAAGAAAGAGGAUUUAUGCCACUAUGAAAUCCUUCGGGUCCUAACUGUCAUUUAGCACAUGUUUUAUAUGCAUUUAUCAAACUUUAUUAUUUCAUGCCUACAUUGAAAAUGUCACA